ACAGUGGCUAAGACUGGAUAGGAAGAGGAAGGUUAUCCGACUGUCAUUAAAAGACCUUCUUCGCAGGCUGUGCAUGGAGAGGGGCAUGCCCCUUUUUUUUUUGUGGGGGGGUGAAGGCUUACCCCGAUUAUGAUGUGUAGCUGGACUGAGACGUUGAACAGCCACAUUGGGACUGCGACACGGCCCAAACUCCUACGGGAGGCAGCAGUAGGGCAUUUUCGGCAAUGGAGGAUACUCUGACCGAGCGACGCCGCGUGAACGAUGAAGUAUUUCGGUAUGUAAAGUUCUUUUAUUGGAGAAGAAAAAAUAGUGGAAAAACUAUCUUGACGUUAUUCAAUGAAUAAGCCCCGGCUAACUAUGUGCCAGCAGCCGCGGUAAGACAUAGGGGGCGAGCGUUAUCCGGAAUUAUUGGGCGUAAAGGGUGCGUAGGCGGUUAGAUAAGUCUAUAAUUUAAUUUCAGUGCUUAACGCUGUCUUGUUAUAGAAACUGUCUUGACUAGAGUGAGAUAGAGGCAAGCGGAAUUCCAUGUGUAGCGGUAAAAUGUGUAAAUAUAUGGAGGAACACCAGAAGCGUAGGCGGCUUGCUGGGUCUUUACUGACGCUGAGGCACGAAAGCGUGGGGAGCAAACAGGAUUAGAUACCCUGGUAGUCCACGCUGUAAACGAUGAGUACUAAGUGUCGGGGAAACUCGGUACUGAAGUUAACACAUUAAGUACUCCGCCUGAGUAGUACGUACGCAAGUAUGAAACUUAAAGGAAUUGACGGGACUCCGCACAAGCGGUGGAUCAUGUUGUUUAAUUCGAAGAUACACGAAAAACCUUACCAGGUCUUGACAUACUCUGCAAAGCUAUAGAAAUAUAGUGGAGGUUAUCAGGGAUACAGGUGGUGCAUGGUUGUCGUCAGUUCGUGUCGUGAGAUGUUAGGUUAAGUCCUAAAACGAACGCAAAACCCCUGUCGUUAGUUGCCAGCACGUAAUGGUGGGGACUUUAGCGAGACUGCCAAUUAAACAUUGGAGGAAGGUGGGGAUAACGUCAAAUCAUCAUGCCCCUUAAUGAUCUGGGCUACAAACGUGGAUACAUGGCUAUUACAAAGAGUAGCCUGAACGCGAGUUUUAGGCCAAUCUCCAAAAAGAGUCUCAGUACGGAUUGAAGUCUGCAACUCGACUUCAUGAAGCUGGAAUCGCUAGUAAUCGCGAAUCAGCAUGUCGCGGUGAAUACGUUCUCGGGGUUUGUACACACCGCCCGUCA
rnacentral:rRNA from 1 species